ensembl:misc_RNA Metazoa_SRP Metazoan signal recognition particle RNA
GCCAGGUGUGGUGGCGUGUGCCUGUAGUCCCAGCUACUCAGGAGGCUGAGGCAGGAGGAUGGCUUGAGCCCAGGAGAUUGAGGCUGCAGUGCGCGGUGAUCACACCACUGCACUCCAGCCUGGGUGACAGAGCAAGACCAUGUCUCAG